GAUGACGAUCACUGCCAGGUUGAUCGCCAAGUAUUCUUAUGUAUUAGACCUAUAAUUUCAAAUAUUUAAUCUUAUUUUUUGUUUGUUUUUAGAAUAGGAGACCCGAGAUCGUAGGCUACUAGCUGUGUGAAAAAAUAGGACGAUGAUUCAUUCUGGAAAAUAGCAUAAUGAUCUACCUAGUCUGGUCGAGCGGUACAUCCCGUUUUAAUAACCCCAUGAAAAUUUGAGGGGGGUAAAACACGUCAGCCACGUUCUGCUAGGCUUGAUAACAAGAUUGAGCAACAUAAAUAGGCUGUAAAUUUUGUUUUGCCAUUCAAAAUACAUUGCAUGUCACUUUGAAUUCAGCCUCAUUGAAUGGGUGUAGGAAUUUAAGACAGACCAGAAAAGUAAACUUGUCAAAAGAACUAGUGAUUGGAAUGAUAGUUAAAGAAGGAUAUUGCAAUGAUGUUGGAAUUAAACUAAUAUAACCAAAUCAUGAGUUGGAAAUAAAAAAGGAUGUGGUUUACAAUGCCAUUGCUUUUGCAGCCUUUGGGUUAUUCAAUGACUGGAUUUGGAUUUAUUGCUUAGUCAGAUAUUAUUGCAAGCCGGAGGGGAAACGAGUUAUGUCUGUGAUAAAGAGCUCAUUAAACGGCCAGAAACUUCAGCAUCUAUUGUUUCUCCCAUUUUACCAUUCGUGGUUUUGAGUUUAUUGACCAGCACGGUUCGGAAAAAAACAUCCUUCUUUUCGGCCAUUUGCCGUGUUCUUGUUUCAAAGGGGAUUGCAGAAAUUACCCAACGGGAUCAGCAGUUUCCCUUUAUAGUUUUAUUGGAUAAAUUUGAUCUUAAGGAUUGACAAAACUAGCUCUUUUGCUCUGGAGAAAAAGAAACUUUUGGACAUUUCUAUGGCUUACCUCUUAAAUUGCUAAUCAGAGUUACUAGCAUUAUUAUUUUGAAUGGAUGUAUUACUUGACUUUUCUGUAAUAUUUGCAGUGUUAUCUUGGACAAAUUAUGCGGCAUUUUUAUGCGCAGUUGUGAAACUAUCGAUGGAUACCCACCAAUUUAGAAAAGAAAUAGUCGGCGAUAUAAGAUAACUUACAUCAAUAAUAUUUUAUUUGCUAUUGAUCGUUUUAACAGAAAUUAUUUUUAGUGGUUUCUAGUGCUAUUUAUUGAUUAAUUUCCUUUCCCAUUUUUAUGUGGACAGUGUUUCGGUAGAGUCGGUUGGUGUAUGUUUCCAGACAUG